rnacentral:misc_RNA from 1 species
UCUCCGUAGGUGAACCUGCGGAGGGAUCAUUACUGAGUGAGGACCCUUGGGUUAUACCUCUAACCCUAUGUUUCUGCCCCGUUGCCUCGGGGGCAACCCGGCCCGGCGUUGGGGCCCCCGAAAGACCCCUUAAAUUCGCGUUGUGAUGUGUCUGAAUGAACGUUUUAAGUGAUGCCAAACUUUCAGCAACGGAUCUCUUGGUUCUA